GGGUUGUGAGGUUAAGCGACUAAGCGUACACGGUGGAUGCCCUGGCAGUCAGAGGCGAUGAAGGGCGUGCUAAUCUGCGAUAAGCGCCGGUAAGGUGAUAUGAACCGUUAUAACCGGCGAUACCCGAAUGGGGAAACCCAGUGUGAUUCGUCACACUAUCAUUAACUGAAUCCAUAGGUUAAUGAGGCGAACCGGGGGAACUGAAACAUCUAAGUACCCCGAGGAAAAGAAAUCAACCGAGAUUCCCCCAGUAGCGGCGAGCGAACGGGGAGGAGCCCAGAGCCUGAAUCAGCAUGUGUGUUAGUGGAAGCGUCUGGAAAGGCGCGCGAUACAGGGUGACAGCCCCGUACACAAAAGCGCAUGUGCUGUGAGCUCGAUGAGUAGGGCGGGACACGUGGUAUCCUGUCUGAAUAUGGGGGGACCAUCCUCCAAGGCUAAAUACUCCUGACUGACCGAUAGUGAACCAGUACCGUGAGGGAAAGGCGAAAAGAACCCCGGCGAGGGGAGUGAAAAAGAACCUGAAACCGUGUACGUACAAGCAGUGGGAGCNNNNNNNNNNNNNNNNNNNNNNNNNNNNNNNNNNNNNNNNNNNNNNNNNNNNNNNNNNNNNNNNNNNNNNNNNNNNNNNNGGGCGUUAAGUUGCAGGGUAUAGACCCGAAACCCGGUGAUCUAGCCAUGGGCAGGUUGAAGGUUGGGUAACACUAACUGGAGGACCGAACCGACUAAUGUUGAAAAAUUAGCGGAUGACCUGUGGCUGGGGGUGAAAGGCCAAUCAAACCGGGAGAUAGCUGGUUCUCCCCGAAAGCUAUUUAGGUAGCGCCUCGUGAAUUCAUCUCCGGGGGUAGAGCACUGUUUCGGCUAGGGGGCCAUCCCGGCUUACCAACCCGAUGCAAACUGCGAAUACCGGAGAAUGUUAUCACGGGAGACACACGGCGGGUGCUAACGUCCGUCGUGAAGAGGGAAACAACCCAGACCGCCAGCUAAGGUCCCAAAGUCAUGGUUAAGUGGGAAACGAUGUGGGAAGGCCCAGACAGCCAGGAUGUUGGCUUAGAAGCAGCCAUCAUUUAAAGAAAGCGUAAUAGCUCACUGGUCGAGUCGGCCUGCGCGGAAGAUGUAACGGGGCUAAACCAUGCACCGAAGCUGCGGCAGCGACACUGUGUGUUGUUGGGUAGGGGAGCGUUCUGUAAGCCUGCGAAGGUGGCCUGUGAGGGUUGCUGGAGGUAUCAGAAGUGCGAAUGCUGACAUAAGUAACGAUAAAGCGGGUGAAAAGCCCGCUCGCCGGAAGACCAAGGGUUCCUGUCCAACGUUAAUCGGGGCAGGGUGAGUCGACCCCUAAGGCGAGGCCGAAAGGCGUAGUCGAUGGGAAACGGGUUAAUAUUCCCGUACUUGGUGUUACUGCGAAGGGGGGACGGAGAAGGCUAUGUUGGCCGGGCGACGGUUGUCCCGGUUUAAGCGUGUAGGUGUGUGUUCCAGGUAAAUCCGGUUCACUUUAACACUGAGGCGUGACGACGAGGCACUACGGUGCUGAAGCAACAAAUGCCCUGCUUCCAGGAAAAGCCUCUAAGCAUCAGGUAACAUCAAAUCGUACCCCAAACCGACACAGGUGGUCAGGUAGAGAAUACCAAGGCGCUUGAGAGAACUCGGGUGAAGGAACUAGGCAAAAUGGUGCCGUAACUUCGGGAGAAGGCACGCUGACACGUAGGUGAAGUGAUUUACUCAUGGAGCUGAAGUCAGUCGAAGAUACCAGCUGGCUGCAACUGUUUAUUAAAAACACAGCACUGUGCAAACACGAAAGUGGACGUAUACGGUGUGACGCCUGCCCGGUGCCGGAAGGUUAAUUGAUGGGGUCAGCGCAAGCGAAGCUCCUGAUCGAAGCCCCGGUAAACGGCGGCCGUAACUAUAACGGUCCUAAGGUAGCGAAAUUCCUUGUCGGGUAAGUUCCGACCUGCACGAAUGGCGUAAUGAUGGCCAGGCUGUCUCCACCCGAGACUCAGUGAAAUUGAACUCGCUGUGAAGAUGCAGUGUACCCGCGGCAAGACGGAAAGACCCCGUGAACCUUUACUAUAGCUUGACACUGAACAUUGAGCCUUGAUGUGUAGGAUAGGUGGGAGGCUUUGAAGUGUGGACGCCAGUCUGCAUGGAGCCGACCUUGAAAUACCACCCUUUAAUGUUUGAUGUUCUAACGUGGACCCGUUACCCGGGUUGCGGACAGUGUCUGGUGGGUAGUUUGACUGGGGCGGUCUCCUCCUAAAGAGUAACGGAGGAGCACGAAGGUUGGCUAAUCCUGGUCGGACAUCAGGAGGUUAGUGCAAUGGCAUAAGCCAGCUUGACUGCGAGCGUGACGGCGCGAGCAGGUGCGAAAGCAGGUCAUAGUGAUCCGGUGGUUCUGAAUGGAAGGGCCAUCGCUCAACGGAUAAAAGGUACUCCGGGGAUAACAGGCUGAUACCGCCCAAGAGUUCAUAUCGACGGCGGUGUUUGGCACCUCGAUGUCGGCUCAUCACAUCCUGGGGCUGAAGUAGGUCCCAAGGGUAUGGCUGUUCGCCAUUUAAAGUGGUACGCGAGCUGGGUUUAGAACGUCGUGAGACAGUUCGGUCCCUAUCUGCCGUGGGCGCUGGAGAACUGAGGGGGGCUGCUCCUAGUACGAGAGGACCGGAGUGGACGCAUCACUGGUGUUCGGGUUGUCAUGCCAAUGGCACUGCCCGGUAGCUAAAUGCGGAAGAGAUAAGUGCUGAAAGCAUCUAAGCACGAAACUUGCCCCGAGAUGAGUUCUCCCUGAGACUUAGAGUCUCCUGAAGGAACGUUGAAGACGACGACGUUGAUAGGCCGGGUGUGUAAGCGCAGCGAUGCGUUGAGCUAACCGGUACUAAUGAACCGUGAGGCUUAACCUUACAACGCCGAAG
rnacentral:rRNA from 1 species